rnacentral:tRNA from 1 species
UCCCCCAUAGUUCAGUUGGUAGAACGGCGGACUGUUAAUCCGUAUGUCACUGGUUCGAGYCCAGUUGGGGGAGCCA